GAUGAACGCUAGCGGCAGGCCUGACACAUGCAAGUCGAGGGGCAGCACAGAAACAGCAAUGUUUUGGUGGCGACCGGCGGACGGGUGCGUAACGCGUAUGCAACCUACCUUUAACAGGGGGAUAACGGAGAGAAAUUUCCACUAACACCCCAUAACAUCGAUCAAGGCAUCUUGAUUGGUUGAAAACUCCGGUGGUUAAAGAUGGGCAUGCGUUGUAUUAGGUAGUUGGUGAGGUAAUGGCUCACCAAGCCUACGAUACAUAGGGGGACCGAGAGGUUAGCCCCCCACACUGGUACUGAGACACGGACCAGACUCCUACGGGAGGCAGCAGUGAGGAAUAUUGGUCAAUGGGGGCAACCCUGAACCAGCCAUGCCGCGUGCAGGAAGACGGCUCUAUGAGUUGUAAACUGCUUUUAAACAGGGAUAAAGCACAGUAUGUAUACUGUGUUGAAGGUACUGUAAGAAUAAGGAUCGGCUAACUCCGUGCCAGCCGCCGCCGUAA
rnacentral:rRNA from 1 species